rnacentral:rRNA from 1 species
AUGCACGCUGGCGGCGUGCCUAAUACAUGCAAGUCGCGCGAACGGACGAGAAGCUUGCUUCUCUGAUGUUAGCGGCGGACGGGUGAGUAACACGUGGAUAACCUACCUAUAAGACUGGGAUAACUUCGGGAAACCGUAGCUAAUACCGGAUAAUAUUUUGAACCGCAUGGUUCAAAAGUGAAAGACGGUCUUGCUGUCACUUAUAGAUGGAUCCGCGCUGCAUUAGCUAGUUGGUAAGGUAACGGCUUACCAAGGCAACGAUGCAUAGCCGACCUGAGAGGGUGAUCGGCCACACUGGAACUGAGACACGGUCCAGACUCCUACGGGAGGCAGCAGUAGGGAAUCUUACGCAAUGGGCGAAAGCCUGACGGAGCAACGCCGCGUGAGUGAUGAAGGUCUUCGGAUCGUAAAACUCUGUUAUUAGGGAAGAACAUAUGUGUAAGUAACUGUGCACAUCUUGACGGUACCUAAUCAGAAAGCCACGGCUAACUACGUG